GUCGGUUUGUUUGUUCGGUUUCAUGCCUUGAAUUACAAAACCUCUAUAGCUUAUGAAAAUUUUUUGAAAGGAGGUUUUGUACAAUGGCAAAUGGAACAGUAAAAUGGUUCAAUGAAUCCAAAGGUUAUGGAUUUAUUGAGCAAGAGUCCGGCGAAGAUGUCUUUGUGCACUUUUCUGCUAUUUCAGGCGAUGGUUUUAAGACUCUGAAAGAAGGACAGAAGGUGCAGUUUGAUGUUACAAAAGGGCCAAAAGGUCCACAGGCAGCAAAUGUAACACCACAGUAAAGAUGUCACUAUAACCAAAACAAAAGCCCGCCCCGAUGUUGCAUCGAGGUGGGCUUUUUUG
rnacentral:other from 1 species